AUGGCAGAAGGGACAGGGGAGAUCUCUGUGGUCUCUUUUGUAACAGCAUUAAUCCCAUUCAUGAGGGUUCGUCCUUCAUGACCUAAUCAUCUCCGAAAGGAUUUACCUCUAGAUACCAUCACAUUGGGGAUUCGGUUUCAAUAUAUUGAAAGGUAUGGAUUCCCUCCUGAUCUUACCCUUUCACCUCGAGAAAGCAUCCAGCUAUAUGAUGCCAUGUUUCAAAUUUGGAAAAGUUGGCCCCGGGCCCAGGAACUGUGCCCAGAAAACUUCAUUCAUUUUAACAAUAAAUUAGUCAUUAAAAAGAUGGAUGCUAGAAAAUAUGAAGAGAGUCUAAAGGCAGAAUUAACAAGUUGGAUUAAAAAUGGCAACAUGGAGCAGGCCAGAAUGGUACUUCAGAAUCUAAGUCCUGAAGCAGAUUUGAGUCCAGAAAACAUGAUCACCAAGUUUCCACUUCUAGUUGAAAAACUAAGGAAAAUGGAGAAGUUACCUGCACUAUUUUUUUUAUUCAAGUUAGGAGCUGUAGAAAACGCAGCUAAAAGUGUGAGCACUUUCCUAAAGACAAAGCAGGAGACAAAAAGGCCUCCCAAAGCUGAUAAAGAAGCCCAUGUCAUGGCUAACAAACUUCGAAAAGUUAAAAAAUCCAUAGAGAAACAAAAGAUCAUAGAUGAAAAGAGCCAGAAAAAAAACAGAAAUGUGGAUCAAAGCCUAAUACAUGAAGCUGAACAUGAUAAUCUAGUGAAGUGUC
rnacentral:sRNA from 1 species